UUAAGAUACUAAGGGCGAUUGGUGGAUGCCUAGGCGCCAGGAGGCGAUGAAGGACGUGGUAGGCUGCGAAAAGCCUCGGGGAGCUGCCAAGCAGGCUAUGAUCCGGGGAUUUCCGAAUGGGGUAACCCACCUGGAGUAAUGUCCAGGUACCCACGUAAGUGGGGGCGAACCCGGGGAAGUGAAACAUCUCAGUACCCGGAGGAGAAGAAAUCAACCGAGAUUCCCCAAGUAGCGGCGAGCGAACGGGGAUUAGCCUAAACCCGCCACCUUUUUUUAGGAAGUAAUGAGCUAGAAGCAAUUAGUAAGAGUGAGGAAUGAAGAUUAGUUGAAAUAGCAAAUUACUUACUAGAAAAGGUGGCGGGGGUUGUGGGGCCUCCAUGAAGUGAUCCGUGAGUAGGUAGCAGAAGUAGCUGGGAAGCUACGCCAUAGAGGGUGAAAGCCCCGUAUGCGAAACCGAAGAGCGGCGCUAGGAGGUACCCGAGUACCACGACUCGUGGAAUCCCGUGGGAAUCUGGGGGGACCAUCCUCCAAGGCUAAAUACUCCCUGGCGACCGAUAGCGCAUAGUACCGUGAGGGAAAGGUGAAAAGAACCCCGGAGAGGGGAGUGAAAUAGAACCUGAAACCAAUCGCCUACAAGCUGUUCGAGCCCGCCACCUUUUUUUAGGAAGUAACUUGCCAUGUCUGUUUAUGUGGGCCUUCGCAUACCUAAUUAAUAAUUCAAAGUUAGUUACUAGAAAAGGUGGCGGGUGAGAGCAUGCCUUUUGCAUAAUGAGCCAGCGAGUUACUCUGUGUGGCGAGGUUAAGACUGUAAGGUGCGGAGCCGUAGGGAAACCGAGUCUGAAGAGGGCGUAUAGUCGCACGGAGUAGACCCGAAGCCGGGUGAUCUAUCCAUGGGCAGGGUGAAGCUGGGGUAAAACCCAGUGGAGGCCCGAACCGGUGUAGGAUGAAAACUGCUCGGAUGACCUGUGGAUAGGGGUGAAAGGCCAAUCAAACCCGGGGAUAGCUGGUUCUCCCCGAAAUAUAUUUAGGUAUAGCCUCAGGGAUUGUCUUGCGGAGGUAGAGCACUGGAAGGGCUAGGGGCACCAGGUUACCAAACCCUACCAAACUCCGAAUGCCGUAAGAUGUACCCUGGGAGUCAGACUACGGGUGAGAAGGUCCGUGGUCGAGAGGGAAACAGCCCAGACCGUCGGCUAAGGUCCCCAAAUCCAUGCUGAGUGGGAAAGGAAGUGGACUGGCUGAGACAGCAGGAGGUUGGCUUAGAAGCAGCCACCCUUUAAAGAAAGCGUAACAGCUCACUGGUCUAGCUGGUCUGCGCCGAAAAUGUAACGGGCUGAAGCAUGGUACCGAAGCCACGGGAGCUAGUUAGACUAGCUCGGUAGGGGAGCGUUCUCUGAUGGAAGAAGCCAUACCUGUGAGGGGUGGUGGACGUCAGGGAAGUGAAGAUGCUGGCAUGAGUAACGAUAAAGGGGGUGAGAAACCUCCUCGCCGUAAGCCCAAGGUUUCCAGGGUAAAGUUAAUCUGCCCUGGGUUAGCCGGCCCCUAAGGCGAGGCCGAGAGGCGUAGCCGAUGGGAAGCAGGUUAAUAUUCCUGCGCCUUCUGAUGAGUCGUUUGAGUGAUGGGGUGACGCAGAAGGGUAGCCCAGCCGGGGAUUGGAAGUCCCGGUGCAAGCCUGUAGGCGGGGGAGAUAGGCAAAUCCGUCUCCCUGUAAACGCUGAGAGGUGAUGGCGAGUCUAUAAGACGCGAAAGUGGGUGAGCCCAAGCUGCCGAGAAAAACCUCUAAGCGAGACUCAUUAGGAGACCGUACCGCAAACCGACACAGGUAGGCGGGGUGAGCAACCCAAGGCGCUCGAGAGAACUCCAGCCAAGGAACUCGGCAAAAUGACCCCGUAACUUCGGGAGAAGGGGUGCUUCUGGGUGUGAAGGUACCAGCUACUGUAGCACCUGGGAGCCGCAGAGAAUCGGCGGGGGCGACUGUUUACUAAAAACACAGGUCUCUGCAAAGUCGCAAGACGAAGUAUAGGACUGACGCCUGCCCGGUGCCGGAAGGUUAAGGGGAGGGGUGAGAGCUCCGAACCGAAGCCCCGGUAAACGGCGGCCGUAACUAUAACGGUCCUAAGGUAGCGAAAUUCCUUGUCGGGUAAGUUCCGACCUGCACGAAUGGCGUAACGAUCCCCGCACUGUCUCGGCUGGAGACUCGGUGAAAUUGGAGUACCGGUGAAGAUACCGGUUACCCGCAGCAAGACGGAAAGACCCUGUGCACCUUUACUACAGCCUGGCAUUGAACUGUGGGCUAUCAUGUAUAGGAUAGGUGGGAGGCUGAGAAGCCUGGGCGCCAGCCUAGGUGGAGCCGUCCUUGGAAUACCACCCUUGGUAGUCUAUAGUUCUAAUCCUGAGGAGUAGAACCUUCCAGGAGACAGUGUCAGGUGGGUAGUUUGACUGGGGCGGUCGCCUCCUAAAGAGUAACGGAGGCGUGCAAAGGUUCCCUCAGGCUGAUUGGAAACCAGCCGUUAGAGUGCAAAGGCAUAAGGGAGCUUGACUGCGAGAGGGACACCUCGAGCAGGGACGAAAGUCGGCCUUAGUGAUCCGGUGGUUCCACAUGGGAGGGCCAUCGCUCAUCGGACAAAAGGUACGCCGGGGAUAACAGGCUGAUCGCGCCCAAGAGUUCACAUCGACGGCGCGGUUUGGCACCUCGAUGUCGGCUCAUCACAUCCUGGGGCUGAAGCAGGUCCCAAGGGUACGGCUGUUCGCCGUUUAAAGUGGUACGCGAGCUGGGUUUAAAACGUCGUGAGACAGUUUGGUCCCUAUCUGCUGCGGGCGUAGGAGACUUGAGGGGAGCUGCCCCUAGUACGAGAGGACCGGGGUGGACGAUCCUCUGGUGGACCUGUUGUAGCGCCAGCUGCACAGCAGGGUAGCUAUGAUCGGCCGGGAUAACCGCUGAAGGCAUCUAAGCGGGAAGCCCCCCCCAAGAUAAGGUCUCCCUCCGUAAGGACUAAAGGCCCCUGGGAGACUACCAGGUAGAUAGGCCCGAGGUGUAAGCACAGUGAUGUGUUUAGCCAACGGGUACUAAUAGGCCGAGCGUCUUAACCCU
rnacentral:rRNA from 1 species